CCUGGCGGUUAUGACACGGUGGAAACGCCCGUUCCCUUCCCGAACACGGAAGCUAAGCACCGUAGUGCCUGAUGUACCUUCUUUGGGAGAUAUGGUCACCGCUGGGU
rnacentral:rRNA from 1 species